AAUCAACGCUGGCGGCGUGCCUAACACAUGCAAGUCGAACGCGAAAGCCCCUUCGGGGGCAAGUAGAGUGGCGUCCGGGUGAGUAACACGUGGGUAAUCUACCUCCGGGUGGGGAAUAACUCGCCGAAAGGCGGGCUAAUACCGCAUAAUGCAGCGGCACCGAAUGGUGAUUAGUUGUUAAAGCGGGGGACCUUAGGGCCUCGCGUCUGGAGAGGAGCCUGCGGCAGAUUAGCUUGUUGGAGGGUAAUGGCCUACCAAGGACUGCGAUCUGUAGCUGGUCUGAGAGGACGGCCAGCCACACUGGCACUGACACACGGGCCAGACUCCUACGGGAGGCAGCAGUGGGGAAUUUUGGGCAAUGGGCGAAAGCCUGACCCAGCAACGCCGCGUGAAGGAGGAAAUCCUUCGGGAUGUAAACUUCACAAGCAAGGGAAGAGACGCGCAGGGUCGAAUAAACUCUGCGUCCGACGGUACCUUGCGUAAGCCACGGCUAACUACGUGCCAGCCGCCG
rnacentral:rRNA from 1 species